rnacentral:rRNA from 1 species
UGAAGACUUUGCCGGAUUAGCUGAGAGGUGGUGCAUGGCCGUCGUCAGUUCGUACUGUGAAGCAUCCUGUUAAGUCAGGCAACGAGCGAGACCCACGCCCACAGUUGCCAGCGUACUCUCUGGAGUGACGGGUACACUGUGGGGACCGCCGCUGCUAAAGCGGAGGAAGGAAUGGGCAACGGUAGGUCAGUAUGCCCCGAAUAUCCCGGGCUACACGCGAGCUACAAUGGUUGGUACAAUGGGUAUCUACCCCGAAAGGGGACGGGAAUCUCCUAAAACCAAUCUUAGUUCGGAUUGAGGGCUGCAACUCGCCCUCAUGAAGCUGGAAUCCGUAGUAAUCGCGUUUCAACAGAACGCGGUGAAUACGUCCCUGCUCCUU